CACUCUUUUUGUGGAAUUUCCAAGUGGAGAUUUCAGCCGAUUUGAAGUCAAUCGUAGAAAAGGAGAUAUCUUCGUAUAAAAACAAGACAGAAUGAUUUUCAGAAACUGCUUUGUGAUGUGUGCGUUCAACUCACAGAGUUUCAACUUUCUUUUCAUAGAGCAGUUAGGAAACACUCUGUUUGUAAAGUCUACAAGUGGAUAUUCAGACCUCUUUGAGGCCUUCGUUGGAAACGGGAUUUCUUUAUAUUAUGCUAGACAGAAGAAUUCUCAGUAACUUCCUUGUGUUGUGUGUAUUCAACUCACAGAGUUGAACGGUUCUUUACACAGAGCAGAUUUGAGACACUCUUUUUGUGGAAUUUGUAAGUGGAGAUUUCAGCCGCUUUGAGGCCAACGGUAGAAAAGGAAA
rnacentral:lncRNA from 10 species